GACCUUAUUUAAGAGUUGGCAGUGGAGAUAAGAGCAUCUUGUUUGGAGAUCCCUGCCUGGCUAAGGUCCUUACAGGCCUUUCAGAGCAAUGUGAGAGGUGAGAAGGACCAGGCUUCUCGUAGCAAGCACAGCAUUUGCUCAAUCACUUCAAAUCACUGCAGACCUGCAGAACUUGUUGUGAAGGUUUUUUUCCGGAGGAAUUGAACACUGAGAGCUUAACAAAAGCACAGCCUGCUGCUUUCUCCUAUCUAACCAUCUACUCGAGAGGCCAAUGAUUAGAAGGAAAAACUGGGUAGGGAGAAAGAAGUUGGAAAGGAUACUGAUUUCAUUACUAUGAAUGGAGUGAAACUGAAGAAAUACUGUCCAACACAGUGGGACUGAAAGAAGACUGCUCCCAGUUCAUUUGGGAUCAGAUACACCUAAAUCACUGCACUUCAAUCCAUUUUUGUUUGCAGAAGAACGAAGAAUUUUGAGUUUUUAGUCUUUUCUAUUGCUAGCAUGUUUUGCUGUAGCAUUUACAUCUAGAACAUUUUCAGACCAUCUGCAGCAAAGCUGUGUGCAAAAGAAAAAAAUCAUUAUAAACUACAUGUUCUUUAUAUAAAUCUGUGAGCCCCUCCUAUCAUCAAGGCAGGUUUUUAUCUUGCUUUUUUUCUUACAUGAUGGAUGUAAUACUGCCGGUUAUGUAACAGUGCAAUGAGGCUUUUUUUUUCUGUUGGAGGGAAAAACAAGGUAACCAAGCAACAAAAAUCCUUUUUUGCUUUUAAUGAAAUUGCUUUCCUACAGUUAGGAUACUAACACCAAUGCUUUUAGGAGUUGAAUAGUGAAAGCUUCAGUGAUAGCCUUCCCAUUCUCCUUAAAACUUUUUUUUUCUAGUAAUGAUCAAACCUUCCAUUUGUAGAGAAAAGCUAUGGUGAAGCAUUGUACUCAGACACACCCUCCUUCCAGAAAAAUGUAUUCAUUUUCACGAGGAUCCUGUCUUAAAAUGCUUGCCUACAUGUGCAGAUCAGACUUAUGGGAUCUUUUGUUUCAGUAAUGUUUUUCCUAUUAAUGCAGAUUUUGCUAUAGGUGUUACUGUUUAAGAACUUCAUGUUAGCAUGUGAUGCCUCACCUAAAUUAUAAGAUGCUUAAGCUAAUGAUUACUUUUGUCCUCUAUUUCUAUGUAUACGUUGCUGUAUUUAACACAAUGUGACCAUUGCUUUUGCUUGAGGUCACCAGGUCCUCAUGCAAUAGAAGUGAUUGUGAAUCAUAAUUUAUAAGCAGCCAAAUAUUAGAAACACAAACAGAUCAUAGAAAUGUGGUGAAAUAUCUUUGCAGGCAAGAAUACUCACAUCUAAAUUUGAAGUGUGAUGUUAUCAAAUAACUGUUUGGUGUUUAUUAUAAAUACAAAUACUAUAUUUUGUUCAGAGAAUUCAGUAAGUAUAUUCUUGGUGAAUUGUUUUUUUUUUCUGAGCAACAUUUUAUAUGAAAAUGUCUUAGUUGAUACAUCAAACCCAACAGAGCCUCCAGUGUGGUGGUGGUGUUUUUCUCUAAUGAUCCAUGUACAAAUUGAGAAUCUGCUGAAUGAAUUAAGAAGCACACAGGCUCUAUAGCCAUGGUCAAAUCAGUGCUUGCUGGGUAAGAUGGUGCUUUAUUCUGCCAUGUAAAAUGCCUGAGAUUCAAUUACCUCAGCCUGCUGUUGAUUUUGCUUCUUUGCAACAGCAGGAAGCAAAGUCUGGAAUACAGCUCCUUAAAAAUAGGCAACUUUUUCUGCAUUGGUGCAUCACAAACUGAUCACAAAACUGAAAUAACAGUAAGAACUAUGUGAAGAGAAGCUUUUAUAUCCAUGUUAAUGAAAUUAACAGGAGAGGUUCGUGCUGCCAAGAGAAGGGGGCAGGUUCUGUGUCUUGGGGCUUAGGGGCUUGUGCUGCAAACUCACCCUUGUCUGUCUUCUCCCUUCUAGUCAGUAGAUGUGUGAGGAGGGCAAAUCUUGUCACUGCCAGUUCUCAGGUAUCCAAGUGCCCAGUAUGCAUGUCUAUCCUUUCUGCACUGAAGCAGAAAGAACCUAACUUGAGGGAGCAGGAUAAGAACAAAGUCACUUCGCCCAUCCAUCUCAUCUUCCUAUCAUGUUCUUCUGCUGAUUUUUCUGGCUUCCCCUUAUAGCCUCCAGUGCCAACUCCGUGUUUGCUGACCCUAGCAGCGAAAGUCAAACACAGAGGCAGUCUGCAGCUUCCCACCAUCCAAGAGCAUCAGCCUCACCACCACAGCCCAAGCAGCAGCAGGGCUAUCUUGUAGCUUGUGGGCUUGGCUCUGCAAAGGCUAGUGAGGCCAGAUUAGGCUGCAUCAAAGACGUGGCCACACACAGACUAGAUGCCAGUGGCCAUCUUUGGCCCUUAAGAUCCAGACUUGUCCCACAUAGCAAAGUCAUCUGACUUAAAAGAUUGUGGAGAUAGAGACUGAGCAAGGAAAACUAGG